rnacentral:rRNA from 1 species
UACAGAGGGGGCAAGCGUUGUUCGGAAUUACUGGGCGUAAAGGGCGCGUAGGCGGCCUGUUAAGUCGAACGUGAAAUCCCCGGGCUCAACCCGGGAACUGCGUCCGAUACUGGCAGGCUUGAAUUCGGGAGAGGGAUGUGGAAUUCCAGGUGUAGCGGUGAAAUGCGUAGAUAUCUGGAGGAACACCGGUGGCGAAGGCGGCAUCCUGGACCGAAAUUGACGCUGAUGCGCGAAAGCCAGGGGAGCAAACGGG